rnacentral:rRNA from 1 species
UACGGAGGAUGCGAGCGUUAUCCGGAUUAUUGGGUUUAAAGGGUGCGUAGGCGGGAUGCCAAGUCAGCGGUAAAAAUGCGGUGCUCAACGCCGUCGAGCCGUUGAAACUGGCGUUCUUGAGUGGGCGAGAAGUAUGCGGAAUGCGUGGUGUAGCGGUGAAAUGCAUAGAUAUCACGCAGAACUCCGAUUGUGAAGGCAGCAUACCGGCGCCCUACUGACGCUGAGGCACGAAAGCGUGGGUAUCGAACAGG